UUAAUUAACUCUCCAACCUAUCCUUACCCUUCUUGAAUUCCCUAUAUAUACCAUGAAGCCUUGGAGAGAACAAAUAAACUUGUGGUACUUCAAGCACACAUAGACAUAAUUUAAAGAGUUUAACAUUAAUUAGAAUCCAUUAGAAAGAUUAUUAGAACUAUUUGCACUGGCAUGCAAGUUGCUAUGGAACUUGAAGAUGAUCUUUUCUUUGCAGAUUUGAGCAAGGAAAUUGCUCUCUUAAUUAUGGAAGAAGAAGAAGAAGAAGAACAAGACACUCUUAUUAUUACUUCUCCUGCAGAAUCUCUUCAGGCAUUUUCUGGAGCAAUAUAUCCUACUAAUCCGCCACAAUUUGCAUUUUUCUGUGGACAAUCUUUGAAGAGAGAGAGCAAAGGAACAGGGGUGUUCAUCCCACAGGCAACACAACCAAGAAGAAAUAAGAACAGAAGAGGGAGAUCCAAUAAUUCAUAUGCAAAAUUUCAAAAGCACUCUCAAUUAGAUACAACAAGAAUGGUUGUUUCUCAAGCCCCCAACAAGAAUUCUUUCAAGCCUUCCCAGAAAUAAUAAUAAUAUUAUUAUUAUUAUAAUGUCUGAGGAUUUCAAAAAUUAAACUGAAUAAUUUUGCAAAAGUAUCUCUACUUAUUAUUUAAUUUCCUCCACCAGAAUUAAUUAGUUAUUUAUUUGUCAAAAUUCUUUAGCCUUUAGGCAAUAUUUAUUAUUUAUGUAGUCUCAAUUAUUUUAUUUUAUUUUAUGUGUAGGUGAUUCUGUAUGUACAUGGGAAAACCAACCAUAUGCCUAAAAAAUAUUAGUCAUUUAUGUAGGAAGGUUCACCCAAACUUUAGGUUUUGUAACCCUCCACAAUGUGGACAAGCAUACCAUUAUAAUUAUCUAGUCUCAUUUCAUAAGUUUGUCCUUAUUAUUUCACUCAAUAAUAUCAAUGGUGAUUAAUAUUUCUUUCUUCCAUA